CCUACGGGUGGCAGCAGUGGGGAAUAUUGGACAAUGGGCGAAAGCCUGAUCCAGCCAUGCCGCGUGUGUGAAGAAGGCCUUCGGGUUGUAAAGCACUUUCAGUGGGGAAGAAAGCCUUGGGGCUAAUACCCUCGAGGAAGGACAUCACCCACAGAAGAAGCACCGGCUAACUCCGUGCCAGCAGCCGCGGUAAUACGGAGGGUGCGAGCGUUAAUCGGAAUUACUGGGUGUAAAGCGCGCGUAGGCGGUCUGAUAAGCCGGUUGUGAAAGCCCCGGGCUCAACCUGGGAACGGCAUCCGGAACUGUCAGGCUAGAGUGCAGGAGAGGAAGGUAGAAUUCCCGGUGUAGCGGUGAAAUGCGUAGAGAUCGGGAGGAAUACCAGUGGCGAAGGCGGCCUUCUGGACUGACACUGACGCUGAGGUGCGAAAGCGUGGGUAGCAAACAGGAUUAGAUACCCCAGUAGUC
rnacentral:rRNA from 1 species